CGCACCUGGCUUCUGCCACAGCCUGGCUUGGUCAGCGAUGAGGACAGACUGAGGUGGAGGGCCACCGCAGCAGGCGUGGGGCAGGAAGCAGCGCCAGCUCAGAUAUGGACCCUGGAGCAAGGGAUCAAGGGCGGAGAAAGGCCAACAAUUAGCCCCCCAUUCCCCAGGGGCUAGUGUCCCUUGCCUCUGCCCUUUCCAGCUCCCUCCUGGUGGAAGCUGCCAACAAGCUCUUGUUGAAACAGAACACCUGACUCAUGGAGAUGCCUUGUGACUCUCUGGCCUGACAUCCCCAGUUUGGGGUGGAUCAACUCAGACUUGACUAACAAGGAGGUAAGAGCCCAACAAACCUCAACAGGAAGAAGGAAAUGGUGUAUUCAAGAGUGCAGUUGGCCCAGCUCUAGCACCAUCUUGGCUUUGCACGAAAAAGUGGCUGCAGCUACUUUAGGGGAAACGUUAUCUCCACCUCCACUGCCUAAAGCAAAGCCUCUGGCUCAGUGGGGUCCUCGAUGCACAGAGAUUGCCCUGAAUGCCUGGGCCUAGUUUGCUGAUGGUUAGCCAAGUUGAAGCCUGAAGGUGUCCAGUUCAGCCUCAGUGCCAUCUCCAUCAAACAGAAAGUGAAUGUGACUGCUCUGCUCAGUGAGCAGAACCCAAGGCAGUCCUAAUGGCCAUGGUCAAUAGUCCCUUGAUGGGUCUGCUGCAUUUUUACUAACCUGUUACCAAUGGCAUGGCCAUCUGUUCUGCCACUUGGAAGACUCUAGAUGGGCAGACUACAUACAACCCUCUUUGGGGCAGCAAGUUGUGGACACAAAUCAAGGCUGCUUAUUGGACAGUUGGUGUCACUGAUGAAGAUGCACACUGACGAAACCUGCUGAAUCAAACUGGGGAUCAAGCCUUCCCUGCCUGGAUCACGGCCAUCACUACCUGCACCUAUUUCCAGGUUUUGGGCUGUCUCAAGGCCAGCCAGAGGGAUCCUGAAAGAACAAAAGUGAUCGCUAUGGUUUCAACUGAUGGAGCAGGACAACUCUGGCCAUUGUGCUCCAGAGCUCCCUAUGCAGCUGGUUCAUGCUGUCGGGCCCGACUGCAGCUUGAAUUCUCCCUCUGCCCAUUUCUGCCUUCUCCCUUUCACUUUCACAGGUAGGAAACUAUUUCGUGAAUGAUGUGAUGGGAUAAAAAGAGCAAAAGACAGGCAGGACCAUCAGCCCAGAGAAAACCAUCUCCGGUACCUGGUACAGAUUGGAAGAGUGUCAUAAAGGUAAGGAACUGUUAGAAACAGGAAGUUGUCUAGCUGAAUCAUACCAGUAUCUGAAUUAUGGUGGUCUGGGGAAAUAUACACAUGCUCA